ensembl:lncRNA
UAAGGGCUUUACCAAAACUUUGAUAUUUUUAUUAGUACAAUGGUGUCUGCCUGUUAUGGCAUCAUUGUCACAUGACAAGGCAUAAAAAAACAAAAACAAAAACAAAACAUGUGCUGUAUAGUUGUCACCUUGCUCUUUCGUUUGUUAUUUUUCUUGAUAUGGUAUUUUGAAAGAGAAAAAACGUCAAGGUCAACUUUGACCUUGGGCACUAACAAUGAAGGUCAAGGUCAAAGGCUUAGCCUAGUUACUCAUGUCGCCCAAAUCAUAGUAUGUCAAUGUGUAGUGAAGUUUGAAGAUCAUCCAUAAAUAAUGUAGGAAAUAUAAAGUUUUUACUGAUUUUCACAUUUCAUGUGACCUUGACCUUGACCACCAAAAUAUUAAAAAGUUGUUAGUAGCAUCUACCGUCACACAAAAUUCAAAUGCGAUAUCUUGAAAACUGUGGAUGCUAGAAUGCUAGCAAAUAGACAAACACAUGGAACAGAUUACACACUCCCUCCCUUCGGGAUGGGACAAGGCUUAAUAAGGUCCAGGGGCCAGAAUCAGCCUGCCAACUAUUCCAGUCCAGCCCAAAAGACAGCUUUGGACAAUGUGAAGAAUGUUUUGGCCUUUUUAAAAUGCAUCUAAAUAAGUUUACAGAUUUUCCCAAGAACUUCCCCAUGGCAGUUCAUACUACACUAAAGUAAUUAAGUAAUAAGUUAAAAAAACAACAAAAAAACGGUAAAUGACAGAAAAGUUUUUGUUUUUUCACUACUAUAUACUAUAAGUCUUCUUUUGUUUGUUUGUUUUUUAUGUGUUCCCAGUAAAAAAAAAGAAGAAGAAGAACAUUUUCUGUGAAUAAACAAUUCUUUUACUGUUCUUUCACUGUGAUGAAUGAGGAGUGAAUCUAGCCAGGAGAUCAAGGGAUGCUGCAAAUUCAUAGGCCUCCUGUUUGACUUUACUGUGCUAUAACUAAAUUCAAAAGCGUCAGUAUAACUUGAAAUCACAAUGUCGUAAUAUGUAAGUGUUUACUGCGGCAAAGGAGCUAAACAGAAUGUCUUUUGCAGCAAGUGAAGUCAUUUCCUGCUCAAUAUUUAAGAUGCUUUUGCAUUGGCUUCAUUUUUCGUCCCCACGGGCUGUCGCUUUGUUUUCGAUCAAACAACCUCAGAGUAAGUGCCCUUCUACCUCUACCCUGCUAGCAAAGAGUUACCAUCCUGUUGUCAAUUUAGCUCUGCCCAGUGUAUCCAUCAGACAGAGAUGCUGCACUCAUGUUAAGAUGUUAGGACCAGCGGUAAAUGCCCUUGAAGAGCAAAAAAACUUUACAUCGACAAUGGGAUCUAUUUCUGUCUGACAGAUGCAUCCAUUUCAGAGGCCAUUAAUGUCAAAAAACCACACACUCAGACCCGGAGGUGUCGUCAUGAAUAAUUCCUGAGCAACUCUUGCAGGCUACUUCCUGUUCUGGUUCUGUCUGUGUGGGUAUGUUUAUGCAUGAGGCAUUCAUUAUUGAACUCUGAAGAGCACAGAUAUUCUGAGAUAGCAUCCAAAGGGAUGACUCAAGCGUCCAUGUUCAACUUCCAUCAUUACAUAAGCCGGGAAGGUGAAGAGGUGCUCAGCAGACAGCUAAAUCAAAUACUCGCGGUGGAGAACAAAGAGAGAGCGGC